rnacentral:rRNA from 1 species
GGGUCAGCAGGUUGGUCGUGCCACUGGUAUGCACUGGCUUCGCUGAUUCCUCCUUUCUGAAGAACUGUAAUGUCAUUAAUUUGGUGUUGCAGGGAAACAGGACUGUUACUUUGAAAAAUUAGAGUGUUUAAAGCAGGCAAACGCUUGAAUACAUUAGCAUGGAAUAAUGAAAUAGGACGUUCGAACCUAUUUUGUUGGUUUCUAGGUACAACGUAAUG